rnacentral:rRNA from 1 species
GUUACCAAUUUUGGGAUCUUUAGGGGGCCUGAGAGGGUGUUCCCCCACAAUGGUAUUGAGACACGGACCAGAUUCUUACGGGAGGCAGCAGUGAGGAAUAUUGGACAAGGGUGCGAGCCUGAUCCAGCCAUCCCGGGUGAAGGAUGACGGCCCUAUGGGUUGUAAACUUCUUUUGUAUAGGGAUAAACCUACCCUCGUGAGGGUAGCUGAAGGUACUAUACGAAUAAGCACCGGCUAACUCCGUGCCAGCAGCCGCGGUAAUACGGAGGGUGCAAGCGUUAUCCGGAUUUAUUGGGUUUAAAGGGUCCGUAGGCGGAUCUGUAAGUCAGUGGUGAAAUCUCACAGCUUAACUGUGAAACUGCCAUUGAUACUGCAGGUCUUGAGUGUUGUUGAAGUAGCUGGAAUAAGUAGUGUAGCGGUGAAAUGCAUAGAUAUUACUUAGAACACCAAUUGCGAAGGCAGGUUACUAAGCAACAACUGACGCUGAUGGACGAAAGCGUGGGGAGCGAACAGGAUUAGAUACCCUGGUAGUCCACGCCGUAAACGAUGCUAACUCGUUUUUGGUAUUUCGGUAUCAGAGACUAAGCGAAAGUGAUAAGUUAGCCACCUGGGGAGUACGAACGCAAGUUUGAAACUCAAAGGAAUUGACGGGGGCCCGCACAAGCGGUGGAUUAUGUGGUUUAAUUCGAUGAUACGCGAGGAACCUUACCAAGGCUUAAAUGGGAAAUGACAGGCUUAGAAAUAGGCUUUUCUUCGGACAUUUUUCAAGGUGCUGCAUGGUUGUCGUCAGCUCGUGCCGUGAGGUGUUAGGUUAAGUCCUGCAACGAGCGCAACCCCUGUCACUAGUUGCCAUCAUUAAGUUGGGGACUCUAGUGAGACUGCCUACGCAAGUAGAGAGGAAGGUGGGGAUGACGUCAAAUCAUCACGGCCCUUACGCCUUGGGCCACACACGUAAUACAAUGGCCGGUACAGAGGGCAGCUACACAGCGAUGUGAUGCAAAUCUCGAAAGCCGGUCUCAGUUCGGAUUGGAGUCUGCAACUCGACUCUAUGAAGCUGGAAUCGCUAGUAAUCGCGCAUCAGCCAUGGCGCGGUGAAUACGUUCCCGGGCCUUGUACACACCGCCCGUCAAGCCAUGGAAGUUUGGGGUACCCGAAGUCGGUGAUCAAGUUAACAAGCCACUGCGUAGGAGANCCCCCCCG